AUUCCGCGAUUAGCUCAGGUUCCGAGCACGAGGAUUAGGUGCUCAGAUCCAUUUGUAAUUCUCUUUCCUUUGUAACGGACUAUCAUUAAUAAAAUAAUUCUCUUUUGAUUUUCCCGAGCAUAAUUUAUUUGCACUCGUGCUUUAUGUAUGCUCUUGAUUUAAUAAUGUCGCUAAUUUUCCGAACCAUUCCGAGCGGACUUUCGAUCGAAAAAUUAUACUCAUUGUUCGAGCAUGUUUUCGACUUUACGAAUUUGUCGAGGAGCGCGGUGUUCUUAUUCGAUUGCUGCGGCUUUCCCCGUAUUUCUAGCAAAGAAAUAAGGGGAAGGAUUCCGAGGAUCUUGCGUUUCCUUAUUUGGUCGCAAUUUUCUCGGGAUGUGGUGUCUUGGAUUUCGCGAGAUUUGCGCGAGCAGACGGGUGUGACUUGAAAGGACGAGUCGCUUCGUUUCCUCUCGCCACGUGUAAAGGCUACGAAACAGCACUCGAGUGGCUAUUCUUUGAGAUUUGAACUUCGAGGUCGUUUUGGACCGUUGGAUUUUCGCGCCUUUUCGUUUCUCCUGAGAUCACAUCUGGGCCACUUGAUCGUGAUUGAUCCGGAUCGUUAGAUCGAUCCUGUGGUUCAGAUGGAAGCGGCGCGAAUUUUCCUGUACGGAUGCGUUGGCCUAUAUAUAGGAGGGAGGUUUUUCGUUUGAAACUUUACAGUUUCUCACUUACUUUCU
rnacentral:lncRNA from 1 species